AGGCUCCAAAGUGUGAGGACAGGUGUGUAACACAGAGGCUACAUGUCAGGAAUUAGGGGCUACAUCUCAGGCAAUUGGGGCUCCAAAGUGUGAGGACAGGUGUGUACAAACAGAGGCUACAUGUCAGGAAUUAGGGGCUGCAUCUCAGGCAAUUGGUGCUCCAAAGUUUGAGGACAGGUGUGUACAAACAGAGGCUACAUGUCAGGAAUUAGGGGCUGCAUCUCAGGCAAUAGGGGCUCCUAAGUGUGAGGACAGGUGUGUACAAAGAGAGGCUACAUGUCAGGAAUUAGGGGCUGCAUCUCAGGCAAUAGGUGAGUAUAAAAUAAUAGUUCCCAAUUGAUUUCUGUAAGGUUUUCUUCCCCCGAGUAUAUUGUGCUUGAAAGAA